rnacentral:rRNA from 13 species
GGAUGCGAUCAUACCAACAAUAAUGCACCGGAUCCCAUCAGAACUCCGCAGUUAACAUGCUUGGACAUGAGGAGUACUACGAUGAGUGAACUCCCGGGAAGUCCUCCAAUUGCAUCCC